GUCUAAUUAGACACAAGUUAGUGCUUCCCAAAUGCACUUUAAUUACAGCUCUGCUGAAAUAAACGUCAAACUAAGGAUCCAAUUGCUGGUGCCCUAGCCAAAAGGGACUUCCUCUUGGCAGCAACCAGGGUGCAUUUGAGCUGGCUUAACGGGUACGGGGUGUGGAAGAGCCUGGCCAAGAGUCCGGAGCCACAGGAGUCCAGGCCGAGUUGGGGUUGGUGCUUUUCCACUCCUGGGGAAGAUCUAAAUUCCACAUUCAAAACAGUUUUUACUAUUGCUCUUGCACCAUUGUGAAGUUAAACGUCAUCAAGUGGAACCUUUACGUCGGGGAGGUCUGCAAACAUCACUGAGGCCGUGACCCCACCCCCCAGCGAGCUCCGAUGGCACAAGGGAACCUGCAGCUGCUGGUCCCCAGGUGGGGCUCUGAGGUGGCAGAGGGGCUCCCCAGGUGAUGACCCAGCCUCCAGCACACCGGACACCAUUGAAAGCACAAACAGGGUCUGAGGCAGAGAGGAGCUGUGGACUCAUGCAUCAGGCCCCUGGGGUGCACACCAGCCCAGCCGUAUCUCCUGGGGUCACAGCUCUGUGGACAUGACUCCUGAUGCCCGCUGUCCAGCUCCCGUGUGUGACUGCACCCUGACUUUGAUGCCCUCUGACCAGCUCGAGUCUGUGACUGCACCGUGACUGGUGCCCGCUGUCCAGCUCAAGUGCGUGACUGCGACAUGACUGAUACCUACUGAGGCUAGCGGGACAAGGGGGGUGGAGCAGUGUGCCUUUAAAGAGAUGCCGGUGCAGGCUGAGGGCCACUCCUCCCGGGCGGCACUGAGCCAGCCUCUGCAAAUAUACAAUAAAUUACCAUUUCCCAGGCUACCGCUGCUUGC
ensembl:lincRNA uncharacterized LOC102023194